rnacentral:sRNA from 1 species
AGAUUAUUACGCAGCGUAUUGCGUUCAGAAGCAGUAUUCUGCCAGUCUUUGAAGGGUUUUCCGGAGACCUCAUCUGAACUAGGCGAAAGCCGAAAGAAAACGGAACAA